UGAUGAAGGUCCCUAGGGUUGUAAAAGCCUCUUUUUGUGCGGGAAGAUAAUGACGGUACCGCAAGAAUAAGCCCCGGCUAACUUCGUGC
rnacentral:rRNA from 1 species